rnacentral:rRNA from 1 species
UAAUACGUAGGGGGCGAGCGUUGUCCGGAUUUAUUGGGCGUAAAGGGUGCGCAGGCGGCCUUUUAAGUCAGGUGUGAAAUCCCACGGCUCAACCGUGGUAAGCACUUGAAACUGGGAGGCUUGAGUUAAGGAGAGGAAAGUGGAAUUCCUAGUGUAGCGGUGAAAUGCGUAGAUAUUAGGAGGAAUACCAGUGGCGAAGGCGACUUUCUGGACUUAUACUGACGCUGAGGCACGAAAGCGUGGGGAGCGAACAGG